UGGAACAAGAAAGUGUAGACAAAGUUUUGGCUUGAUAAGGCUCAGAGGGUAACCUAAACGUUGUCUCCACUUUCUUGUUCCAAAUAAAAAGAC